rnacentral:rRNA from 1 species
UACAGAGGUCUCAAGCGUUGUUCGGAUUCAUUGGGCGUAAAGGGUGCGUAGGUGGCGCGCUAAGUCAGGUGUGAAAUCUCGGGGCUUAACUCCGAAACUGCAUUUUGAUACUGGCGUGCUUGAGGACUGGAGAGGAGACUGGAAUUCAUGGUGUAGCAGUGAAAUGGCGUAGAGAUCAUGAGGAAGACCAGUGGCGAAGGCGGGUCUCUGGACAGUUUCCUGACACUGAGGCACGAAGGCCAGGGAGCAAACGGG